GUCUGACUAUAGGAAAGAGGUAGCUACUACAGGUCUGACUAUAGGAAAGAGGUACUACUACAGGUCUGACUACAGGAAAGAGGUAGCUACUACAGGUCUGACUACAGGAAAGAGGUAGCUACUACAGGUCUGACUACAGGAAAGAGGUACUACUACAGGUCUGACUAUAGGAAAGAGGUACUACUACAGGUCUGACUACAGGAAAGAGGUACUACUACAGGUCUGACUAUAGGAAAGAGGUACUACUACAGGUCUGACUAUAGGAAAGAGGUACUACUACAGGUCUGACUAUAGGAAAGAGGUACUACUACAGGUCUUUGACUACAGGAAAGGGGUACUACUACAGGUCUGACUAUAGGAAAGGGGUACUACUACAGGUCUGACUAUAGGAAAGAGGUACUACUACAGGUCUGACUACAGGAAAUGGGUACUACUACAGGUCUGACUAUAGGAAAGGGGUAGCUACUACAGAUCUGACUAUAGGAAAGGGGUACUACUACAGGUCUUUGACUACAGGAAAGGGGUACUACUACAGGUAUUUCUGUGACCUGGUGUUCUCCAGCAGCUGAACACAUGUACAUAGCAGUCCUGACAUGGGUUUCAAUCAGACACACUGCUCUUCAGGACAACUCUCUCCCUCCCUCCGGUCUUACUCACUGUCCUAUCCAGUCACCUUCUCACUGGGGGGAUUUUAGCUUAUUUACAAAACAUGUACAAAAUAUGAAAGAAGUGUGAAAUGAAUGAUUACAGAGUGACUAGAUUCAUUAUUACAGGAGUGACUCGAUUCAUUAUUACAGGAGUGACUAGAUUCAUUAUUACAGGAGUGACUAGAUUCAUUAUUACAGGAGUGACUAGAUUCAUUAUUACAGGAGUGACUAGAUUCAUUAUUACAGGAGUGACUAGAUUCAUUACUACAAGAGUGACUAGAUUCAUUAUUACAGGAGUGACUAGAUUCAUUACUACAGGAGUGACUAGAUUCAUUAUUACCGGAGUGACUAGA